UAAUACGUAGGGUGCAAGCGUUAAUCGGAAUUACUGGGCGUAAAGCGUACGCAGGCGGCUUUGCAAGACAGGUGUGAAAUCCCCGGGCCUAACCUGGGAACUGCAUUUGUGACUGCAUGGCUAGAGUUUGUCAGAGGGGGGUGGAAUUCCACGUGUAGCAGUGAAAUGCGUAGAUAUGUGGAGGAACACCGAUGGCGAAGGCAGCCCCCUGGGAUGUGACUGACGCUCAUGUACGAAAGCGUGGGGAGCAAACAGGAUUAGAUACCCUGGUAGUCCACGCCCUAAACGAUGUCAACUGGUUGUUGGGUCUUCACUGACUCAGUAACGAAGCUAACGCGUGAAGUUGACCGCCUGGGGAGUACGGCCGCAAGGUUG
rnacentral:rRNA from 1 species